AAGUGGGAAACGAUGUGGGAAGGCCCAGACAGCCAGGAUGUUGGCUUAGAAGCAGCCAUCAUUUAAAGAAAGCGUAAUAGCUCACUGGUCGAGUCGGCCUGCGCGGAAGAUGUAACGGGGCUAAACCAUGCACCGAAGCUGCGGCAGCGACGCUGAUGCGUUGUUGGGUAGGGGAGCGUUCUGUAAGCCUGUGAAGGUGUGCUGUGAGGCAUGCUGGAGGUAUCAGAAGUGCGAAUGCUGACAUAAGUAACGAUAAAGCGGGUGAAAAGCCCGCUCGCCGGAAGACCAAGGGUUCCUGUCCAACGUUAAUCGGGGCAGGGUGAGUCGACCCCUAAGGCGAGGCCGAAAGGCGUAGUCGAUGGGAAACAGGUUAAUAUUCCUGUACUUGGUGUUACUGCGAAGGGGGGACGGAGAAGGCUAUGUUGGCCGGGCGACGGUUGUCCCGGUUUAAGCGUGUAGGCUGGUUUUCCAGGCAAAUCCGGAAAACUAAGGCUGAGGCGUGAUGACGAGGCACUACGGUGCUGAAGCAACAAAUGCCCUGCUUCCAGGAAAAGCCUCUAAGCAUCAGGUAACAUCAAAUCGUACCCCAAACCGACACAGGUGGUCAGGUAGAGAAUACCAAGGCGCUUGAGAGAACUCGGGUGAAGGAACUAGGCAAAAUGGUGCCGUAACUUCGGGAGAAGGCACGCUGAUAUGUAGGUGAAGUCCCUCGCGGAUGGAGCUGAAAUCAGUCGAAGAUACCAGCUGGCUGCAACUGUUUAUUAAAAACACAGCACUGUGCAAACACGAAAGUGGACGUAUACGGUGUGACGCCUGCCCGGUGCCGGAAGGUUAAUUGAUGGGGUCAGCGCAAGCGAAGCUCUUGAUCGAAGCCCCGGUAAACGGCGGCCGUAACUAUAACGGUCCUAAGGUAGCGAAAUUCCUUGUCGGGUAAGUUCCGACCUGCACGAAUGGCGUAAUGAUGGCCAGGCUGUCUCCACCCGAGACUCAGUGAAAUUGAACUCGCUGUGAAGAUGCAGUGUACCCGCGGCAAGACGGAAAGACCCCGUGAACCUUUACUAUAGCUUGACACUGAACAUUGAGCCUUGAUGUGUAGGAUAGGUGGGAGGCUUUGAAGUGUGGACGCCAGUCUGCAUGGAGCCGACCUUGAAAUACCACCCUUUAAUGUUUGAUGUUCUAACGUUGACCCGUAAUCCGGGUUGCGGACAGUGUCUGGUGGGUAGUUUGACUGGGGCGGUCUCCUCCUAAAGAGUAACGGAGGAGCACGAAGGUUGGCUAAUCCUGGUCGGACAUCAGGAGGUUAGUGCAAUGGCAUAAGCCAGCUUGACUGCGAGCGUGACGGCGCGAGCAGGUGCGAAAGCAGGUCAUAGUGAUCCGGUGGUUCUGAAUGGAAGGGCCAUCGCUCAACGGAUAAAAGGUACUCCGGGGAUAACAGGCUGAUACCGCCCAAGAGUUCAUAUCGACGGCGGUGUUUGGCACCUCGAUGUCGGCUCAUCACAUCCUGGGGCUGAAGUAGGUCCCAAGGGUAUGGCUGUUCGCCAUUUAAAGUGGUACGCGAGCUGGGUUUAGAACGUCGUGAGACAGU
rnacentral:rRNA from 1 species